rnacentral:rRNA from 1 species
AGUGAACGCUGGCGGUAGGCCUAACACAUGCAAGUCGAACGGCAGCACAGUAAGAGCUUGCUCUUACGGGUGGCGAGUGGCGGACGGGUGAGGAAUACAUCGGAAUCUACUUUUUCGUGGGGGAUAACGUAGGGAAACUUACGCUAAUACCGCAUACGACCUACGGGUGAAAGCAGGGGAUCUUCGGACCUUGCGCGAUUGAAUGAGCCGAUGUCGGAUUAGCUAGUUGGCGGGGUAAAGGCCCACCAAGGCGACGAUCCGUAGCUGGUCUGAGAGGAUGAUCAGCCACACUGGAACUGAGACACGGUCCAGACUCCUACGGGAGGCAGCAGUGGGGAAUAUUGGACAAUGGGCGCAAGCCUGAUCCAGCCAUACCGCGUGGGUGAAGAAGGCCUUCGGGUUGUAAAGCCCUUUUGUUGGGAAAGAAAAGCAGCAGGUUAAUACCACGCUGUUGUGACGGUACCCAAAGAAUAAGCACCGGCUAACUUCGUG